CAAUUUUUCUACAAUUUGGUAAAGAUCUUUAUUUAUUGACAAGAGUUCAGCGAUAGUUAAUGCUUCAAGGUACACUCUCUUUGCAUCUGGCAAGUGUUCGGACGAAUGCCUUCCCCCGAAUGCAGAUAGCAUGCUUUUGCACAUUAAGAGAGCCAACUACCAAGCAGCCAUCUGGAAGAAUAGUUUGCAA